UACAGAGGGUGCAAGCGUUGCUCGGAAUUAUUGGGCGUAAAGGGCAGGUAGGUGGUCUCGUUUGUCGGGGGUGAAAGCCCUGGGCUUAACCCAGGAAGUGCCCUCGAAACGGCGAGACUGGAGUACUGGAGAGGGUCGUGGAAUUCCCGGUGUAGCGGUGAAAUGCGUAGAGAUCGGGAGGAACACCAGAGGCGAAGGCGGCGACCUGGACAGUUACUGACACUCAACUGCGAAAGCGUGGGGAGCAAACAGG
rnacentral:rRNA from 1 species